AUUCGGCCUUACUGCUGAGUGAACAUGACUGUUAGGAUUAUAGAGACCAUACACAGUGAAGAAAAGCAGCAUCGCUUUUCUGAAUGGAAAGUAAACAAUAGGGCGAUUGUCGGCUUACACAUUGGGGCCAAUAGCCCUACUGCUGAGGAGCUCUAUGUAAAAACCAAGAUCAGCAAGCAGUCUUGAUGUUUUCUACUUGGAGUUGGAUGUUGUCAAGGAUUCAGAUGAGCCACCCCAGUCUCGGACAACUCACUCUAAGCCACACAACUAGUUCUGAAGAGUAUGGAGCCUACAUAGAGUCAUAAGAGCCCAAUGUUUCCCAAGGACAUUAACUUUGAUUUCUCUGAUGAAGGCUUGUGGCUGCCCCUCAUGCUUUGCAAAAUACUACCAAGUCAGAGCCGAAAAGAAAACCGAAAUGAACCCCAAGAAGGUGAAGCAGAUAGCUACAUAAAUAUGUUCUGGUGUCUUCAGGAAAGAAGGAACUUCAGAUGUGUUCAUGGAACCUCUGUCAAUUAUUUCUGAGGUAUCAUGGAGAAUGGGAAAGAAUCGAGAAAACCGAAGAUGAGUCUAUGCUGAUCUGAUUUUAUUAGAAAGGAAAGAAGGAUUCUGUGAACUGCAAACCAAUGAGUUCGACAUCAGUCUCUAGCAAAAUUUGGACAAAAGUAAAAGUGAGCAUUUUGAGAUGAUGUCAGUGACUAUUACGAACCAGUAUGGGUUUGGGGCACCUGAGUGGCUCAGUUGGUUGGGUGUCUGCCUUUGGCUCAGGUCAUGAUCUCAGAGUCCUGGAAUGGAGCCCCACAUCAGGCUCCCUGCUCAGCGGGCAGCCUGCUUCUCCCUCUCCCUCUGCCUGCUGCUCCCCUUGCUUGUGUUCUCUCUCUCUCUCUCUCUCUCUCUCUCUCUGUCAAAUAAAUAAAUAAAAUCUUAAAAACAAAACAAAACAAUCAGAUGGGUUCACUAAGAACAAAGUAGCUCCAGGUAAAGUAUAUUACUUUUACUCUUAGAAAAAGAAAAAACAGUGUAACUGAAUUUUGGCAAGUCUUUUAAUCAAAAUUCUCAUACGUUCCUAAAAGAUAAGUUAGACUAGUUUAUAGCAUAGUUAGAAAGUUUCCAAAAAUGGCAGAAUUACCUCUUUAAGAGUGAUGAAGAAUGAAUUUUGGAGUCACGGAAACUUGGCAUUUCAAAUUGAAGCCCUGCAAUUUAUCAGCUAUGUCAAUUUGUGCAAGUUGCAUAAACUUCCUGAACCUUAAUCUCCUCAACUGUAAUGAGGGAUUAAAACUAUCUGUCAUAAACAUGUUGUGCUUCUUAUACAAUACUGUGUACAUGAAGUGCUUUUUACCUAUCCUCACAUAAAUGCUCAAAAAAAAUAUAGGUGUCAUAUUUUAUUCUCAUGAGCUAAGGGUGAUUGAGUGUUGUCAAUCUGAA
rnacentral:lncRNA from 1 species